rnacentral:rRNA from 1 species
UACAGAGGUCCCAAGCGUUGUUCGGAUUCAUUGGGCGUAAAGGGUGCGUAGGUGGCAUGGUAAGUCGGGUGUGAAAUCCCGGGGCUCAACCCCGGAACUGCACUCGAUACUACCGUGCUCGAGUACUGGAGAGGAGACUGGAAUUUACGGUGUAGCAGUGAAAUGCGUAGAUAUCGUAAGGAAGACCGGUGGCGAAGGCUAGUCUCUGGACAGUUACUGACACUGAGGCACGAAGGCCAGGGGAGCAAACGGG